AUAGAUGUUCAGAAGAAAUCUUCCCUCCCACGGGUACGACCUUGUCGUGGUGGGAGGGCUCAGUACCCCGAGGGCUUGAAUGCCUAUGGGGGAAGCUAACUGUACCCAUUGCACCUAUUACGUCGUCGAUUGUAAAAUUGUGAUUCGUCGCGCCGCGUUAACGCGGUUCGGGAGUGCCGACCGAUUGAAUUGAAAACGAACCGUAGCCGGCUCGUCGCGUCGCGCGUUUGCUUCGGGAGUGCCGUUAACAAAAGGACUGAAAGGACUUUUCGCAUAACUCCCAUUAGAAUGAUUUCUUAGUUCGAGAGAUACUUUCGAGGGUGGCACUUUCGAGGUCUCGAUAGUAUGGGAUGCUCAUGGAGGCGUUGCUUCUUGCGACGUUCUCGCACCAAGUGCGCUUCGCGUACGAGGUGAGUUAAGCUGGACCGAUGGAUACGCCUAAACGCUGGUAAAACCGCAUGACGCUGUCAGCGAGAAACAGUGAGAAUUCUUAAUUACGAUCUUAAUACGAUUGUAAUUUUGUAUUCUUCUGCGCGGUGCUUGACGUUUCGUGUUAGUUCCGUUGUGAUCCGUACUCGUCGACUCAAGGUGCUGAUUCCACGGAGCAUUCUCCGAACUGGAAAUCAUAUCGUGGGAGUUAUAAACGUGGGGUGACGCAUUGGGAUGUCGCGCGAAAGACAUUUUGACGAUUAAUUAGUCCUCGCGCGAUUAUAACUUUAAUAAUCGCGAGUGUUUCUCGCGAGUGUUUUUCGCGAGUGUCUCGUGACAAAAAAGGACAGCCUGUUCUGAGAGGAAGAGGAGGUCCAGGAAGGGCAUCGGGCCCCGGCAGAGCAACCUUGGGAAUCAUCGUAGCGACGUUGCUGAAUGCUCUUUGUCGCUGCGCAUCGGCCGGUGAGUGAUGAAUAAACUUUUAAAUUUGUAAUAGAUCUGUGACAAAAUUUUAUUUCAAAUAUAAUGUAGAAAUGUUUGCUAUAAUGCAAUAAUAAAUAAUAUUUAAGUGUCAUACUUAUUUCAUGGAUCUAUUGCUUCAAAAUCAGCUGCCUGUGGAGGAGCUGCUCCGCUUCUGGAAAGAAGCGCGGCUCCACUAGGGCAGCUGACAACGGGGAGGCACAAUGGACUCAGUCUGAGAUGCCAAAGUAAAAUAUAAUAUUAUUAUUGCACUUUUAAAGUCACUUUUAAAAUGAAAAAUAAAAAAUAAAAAAAUAUUUACUUUUUAUUUUUGUCAUAUUACUGGUAUGGGACUCUCUAUUAUAAUAAAAAGAAUCAAAGAAAGAGAGAGAAAGAGAGAGAUUAAUAAUGUGCAAAUGUCGAAAUUUGGCAAAUUAUUUAACGUGCAACGGAAAAGGCUGUAAAACAUUAAUUUAGGUGCUAAAAAAUAAAAGCUACCGUCAAACUCGCAUAUCAUGUCCAUGAGAUAAAAAUAUGAGUUGAUUAUGCAUGAUAUAAAUAUAUUUUCGUAAAAAAUUACUUAUAAAAAUCAAACGUUAUUCUUUUCAUCGUUUUAUUUCUAAAUCUUUAGUAAAAGGGCAAAUUUAAUUAACGUAUGUGUAGAGCGUAUAUAAUUCGCGUUGAGAGAUCACACGACUUGCCAAGAAUUCUAACGAUUACGACUGAAACCUUGUCGGAAAACAGUCGGAUUUGAAAAAGAGAGAGAAAGAGAGAGAGAGAGAGAGAUAGAAUGGACUAGAAAUAUCUCCGUAAAAUUUACGAUUCAUAAAGGGACGACGGGUGAACAAGCGGGCGUUCGCGUGCAUUUAGCUCUUCCGUGCUUGGACAAAAAUUUGGGAGUAUCACUUAUGAAUCGGGAUGAAUCAUAGCCGGCCCCCAUUUUUAUUUGGUUUACACCGACGGUUUUUCGGUCGGAUUGCUCUCGUGCGUCGUAAUAUUAGGAAUUAUAACUUGAAUUACGAUACGCGCGCUAAGAGCGCGCUAAUCCGUCGUCGAACGUUUCAAUAAUAAAGUGUCUCGUUGCAAUCGUCAAGCGUCGCACUACGGCGAUAUGUUUACGCUACAUGUUAAAUUAAACAUCGAUAAUCCUAUCUUCGUAUUGCGAACGACUUCGCGGAAGAAGCCAGUUGAUUAUUAACACCGAGAUACGAUAUGGUUUUAACAAGAUUAAAUCUCGAGCGGAAUUUGCAACACAUGUGUGCUGCGACAUAUACGUACUACAUGCCGAUCGCGUGACGCUGAAUUAAACCACUUGCACGGUCGACCCACUUGGAUAAUUAACAACAAAAAAAUGUUAAUAGAGCCGUUCCACUGGUAAUUGCAAGAAUAAAAUGCUGCAAGCAACAAAUUCAUCAGAUAUCAGUCUUUUACACUUUCGGCGUGACUCAGAAAUAUUUUCGACGACUCAUAUUAACUGCAAAAUAUCGUCACUACGGCUAAGUUUAACUACGUCAAUUGCCAUGCCUAUCUCUCGAUCGAUCUCUAUUUCACUUUUUUCCGACCGCGCCGACGACGAUAAUUAUCAAGGAUCACUUUGUUCCGAACUGAGGCAAAAAAAUCCGGGCACGGUAAAACGAGGUCUAGGUCGUUAGAGUCGGAUUAUAUUUCCGUCAUGGAAGCCGAGACAAUUUUCUCAGUGGCAAUUAAGCUUCGCGGGAUAGUCGAGAAAUUAAUUAAUCUUAUUCUGCAGCAGUCCGCGAGCGAUUCGAUCGAGAAAAUUCGUUUCUUUAACUCAAAUAUUCCGAUCGAUUAAUAAUUUUUAGAUUUACGUGACGACAGAGCUACUCACUGGAGUAGAAGUUAUCGUUGUGUUUACCGCUACCGACAUGACCAUUUUUUUAUCAGCUUUAAUUUCUUGGAAGAUAUAUCAAAGUCAUAUCUCAAGGAAAGUAAACUUCAUCUCAAAAAUACUUCGCAGUAAACAUCUUCCUUUCUCGAACAAAUUUUAUUUUAAGAACCCUAAAGAAAAAAUGUGAUAUUUACGAUUAUAAUUGCAUUAUUAUAUUAAUAAUGCAAAUUACUACUAUAAUAUUGGUAAUAAUAAGCAUAUGCUUGUACUGAUUGUUUUAUAGUACAAUUUACUAUAUUAAAUAUCAUAAGUUGUAUAGACCACUAUUACAAUUAUGAGAAUUUUAAUAUAGUUUAAACAAACAAUAAUUUGUUAAAUAAUUAAAAAAAUAUGGUCCAAAUUAAAUCCAAAACUGAUUAUAAAUUAUAGUAAUAUUACGGUUACUACAACUAUUUUUAUCUCUCAAGGAAUAAUUCGAUAAAGUUUCUUAAGUUUGCUUAUUAUUAAAAAUAAAUAAAAAUAAAAAUAAUAUAAUAUAACGCAAUAGGAGAUAAUCUAAAGAUUUAUCUCCCUCUUUCUCUUCAAGGAAUUUUUUUGUAAGUGUAAAUUCCUUGACCGAUAAAGCAAGCUGAAGCAAGAUUUUCACAUAAAGCCAUCACGAGUUCAACAUCGACAUUUCCGCGUGCGCAUAUGUUUCUCCUGUUGCGGAAAAAAAUAUUUCAAAAAGCACUGUAACUCGUGAUCGUUUCCUUUUUAACGCACGUCAGUGGCAUAAGCAUGCAUCUGCAACCGAAGCGCGAUUCGAGUUUACGGUCGCAUUGAAGAUAGGCUAGAUUUAUCGGGAGAUAUUUCGUUUCUAACGAGACGUAGGGAAGAAGCGAGUCCUCGAGAUCGUGUCAUACGUGGCCGCGAGAAUAUCUCGUCUGUCAUUUGUUACGCGAUCCUCUUACGCCGCGCUCCUGCAUCGCCGUAAAGACGUUUCGCCAUUUAUCAAGUCGACGAUCGUAAAUAUUGAACGAAUCCCCGAAUACGGCAUGGCAUACUAAAAUCUGGUAAGAGUUAUCUUCCAGGAGGAAUAAUCUUGAGAAUUGCGUCGAAGCAUAAUGCAUCGGAUGUGACUGUGAGAAAAAUGUUCGGUUCUCGGAACACCGACCGUGAUGUCCCUAAAAUUUUUCUGAGAUCGACAUGUUCAUUUGUCGUUGGAGACGGGUGAUGUAUCUCUACGAAUAUUGUCAUAAAUCGUCCAUGAGUUAUACGACAGAUUUCUGGAUAAUUUUGAAAAAUCGACUUUGGCUUACAAAAUAUAAUACGACGUCUACAAAAUAUUUUUAAUAUUAAAUAUCAACUUAACAGAUUUCUGAAUUAAUGCUCUAUCAAAAUAAAACAUUCGAGAUUUAUCUAAGCAAUCCUUUUUAUUUAUUAUUAGCAUUCUCGUUCAGCAUAAUUAUCCUUUGCAUGUAAAUUGUAUUAUACUAUCAUAACCUAUCAAGCGUAGAGAUUAGAUGAGCAGAUUGCGCUGGUGAAAUGUUCUCUGAAUAAUUCACGUCAUUUGUCCCAAAUUGACGCUUCUGCAUGAUUUAUCACGUUGCAUUUACGUUACUACAAGUGAUGCGUGACGCUAGGUAUACGUUGCCGUAAUAUUAAUCUCGACAGUAAAUGAUUACGUUAUCGCAUUGCGCGAAUUGAAGAGUCCGUCUUCUCUGGCGCGUAAAUUCACGGAAAAUCAAGGAAAAUUACCAGUCUCGGGGGUAAAAUUGAGAUAUCAUUUCUUCUCGCUGAGGGAACUGUUAAGCAGCCGUUGAUUGUCGACUCACAGUUCUUUGAGCGUGUUUCCCUCGUCGUACUCCCAGGAACAUUUGCCUCAUAACGUAAUAAAGAACAAAGUUCGUCUACAGAUCGGCUGAAUAUCGCUGUAAUUUCGUUCGACGACGAUCGAUACGUCACCGAGUGGGACAAGAAAACGUUAUUAAAGCUCUAAGGGCUUUUCCAUACAAGCGGUGCGAAUUGUACAGAAGAAGAUAUAUGAUAUAUGAUAUGGAAUAAACACGAUUUUAUCGUACUAUAAAUUGGAUAUAUUAAACAAAGAGUUCAUGUACUUGGUUAAAGUUGUUUACGAAAAAAGAUCUUUAUGAAAAAUUCGAUACUCAUGUAUAAUGAUAUUUUAUUACUAUACACGCAGAAGAAUUGCUCAAUAAAGUUAAAAUACCCUAGUAACACGAAACAUAGCGCAAUAUUGGAAAAUAAUGUAAACGCAAUAUCCCCAAUAUUGAUUCAAUAUUGUAAAAUGGACGCUUUAUUUUAUUUGGUCAAUUUGUCUAGACAGCAAUAUUGAUUUAAAUAAUUUAACAUUAGGUUAAUAUUGAACCUAUAUUAGGCAACAAUAUUCAUUCAAUUUUUCAUAUUAAACAUUAAUUGUAUUUGCUAGUGGAACCAAUAUUGUAUGACCAAUAUUAGCGUUACAUUGGGAAAACAUUGGCCAAUAUGCUCCCAAUAUAAUCAAUGUUUCGUCAAUAUUAGCCAAUGUACUGCCAAUGUAUUGUGCUACUGCAGCCGUAGCUAAAAUGUAUCCUAAAAAAGAUUUUAAAAUAGGUGCGUCUAGUAUCGUUGCUACUGUGGCUUAUUUUAUUAAUUGUUAAAAUGUAGGUGUUACAGAAAAAAAAAUAUUUGUUACUAAAACCAAAUAACAUUUAAUUAAAGCCGUUAUAUUAUUUUGUUUUCACAAUAGAAACUAAUGAUGUUUGUAGUGAAAUUAAUUAUUUUAGCUAAGAUUAUAUGCUUUGAUAUUUUAAUCUUUAAUCUAGUGCAUGCUUUGAAUCUUUUCUAGGGAAAAUGUCAAGUUAGAGGAGAAGGUGAGAUUAUAUGAUCCUUGUGUUAUGGUCAUUCUCACUUAAUAUCUCCUAUUAAGUGAGAAAUUCUGUAAUGAUUACUUAUGUAUAUUUUCACUUAUAUAUAAUUUUAUAACAAAUGCUGUGUCGUUGGUUUUUUAAAGUAAAACCAAUUUUCAAAAUCUAUAAUUUAAAUCAAGAUUAUAUUACUACCCUUAUUUCUCUUCGAUACAUACGAAUGUACUGUCGUCACAUAUUUAUAAUUGACUAAAUAUUUCAUAAUUUUGAAUCUAGAAAUGUGUAUGUGUGUUAAGUUUGCAAUUAAAAAUACUGAUUAUUAAUAAAAUUAUUGUAAAUAGAGAACACAUUACAAUACUAUGUAUCGAAUAAACAAAAUUGUACUGACAAAAUACACUCUAUAAUUUAUUUUAAAACUCCAUGUUUUUGAGAAACUCGACUUCAAGGAAUCUUUUCAUAAAGUAGAAUCCACUUGUUUCAAGAUAAGAGUGAAAAAUCUCAUAAUGCCGCGCCUUUUAUUCUAUUUCAUGUGAUUCUUCACUUAUGAGAAAUACAGGAAUACUUCACCACAUCCAUUUGCCGGCGAAAUACAAUUGUAAAUCAAAUGCUCAGUUUCACGUGUGUACCGAGGAAUAGCUGUCUUUUUAACUAUUUGUAUUAAAGUUUAAUAUGAGUUAAUAAAUUUCUACCUCGUAGCAAAAGCAUUUUACUUUAAAUGUCAAUUUUUUACACAGAGAAACUUUUCUGGUGAUAAAAAUAUAACUGUCGCAAAAUAAAUGCCGCGAUAAACCAUACGAUUUAUGCUACUCACGAUUGUUGUUGCCGUGCUUUGAUUUUUAUUCGCGUUUAGUUUAUUUCCUACGGGCGAAUAUUGCGUGAGAUCCACCACUUUUUUUCGAUCGUCCUAUAAUUACAAACUCGGAGCUCGGAGCUUGCCUGGAAAGAAGUCGUUACGAUCACUUUGCACAUAAAAACAGUAAUGGGCAAAAGAAAGAAGCAAUAUAUCGGUAUAGUAGUAUAUAUCGCUGGGAUAGAACGGCGAUGGGGGAUGAGGUAUUAAAUCGCGAUAACGCGCCAUCAGGCCGACUAUAAAUUACCCAAGAGGGUUGGAGAACACGCGGUUAAAUCUGGAAGCCUGUCUGCCGAUCGGAAAUCCGGUUGAGUGUUCCAUUGACCUGCUCUCGGUAGUGCUGCGCUGUUAACACACGUUUCCCGUUAUCGCGCCGCGUGAUUAAUGGCGCGCUUUAUUAAACCGCAUUGUAAGACGGCGACGAGGAAGAGUUAAAAGUGCGCGGGCCCAUCGGUAGCAACGAACUUUCGUGCGCUCGCCGACCCUUAAAUUAUAAUAAUAGACGAAAGUUAUGACGAUGAAUUGAUAAUAGAGAAAAGAGCGGACACUCGGUUGGAUUACGCUUGACGGAGUGCCUCGAUAAUUCAUAAUAUUUCUCGUAAAGUCAAUUAAUUAUAAGAGUAUAGCGAUUCGUCUCACCUCGAAAGAAUCAGGGUUCUUAAGUAACUGUCGAUCCUCCUCUCGUGAAAAAUUGACUUUACAAAUUUAUCGUUGUUACAUAAAUCGAUCAUACUUUGUCAAAAAUUUGGUCACAUUGAUCGUCAGAAAAACUUAUGGAUAAAAUAACACUCGGACGACUCUUCAACAUCCUUUGGAUAAGAAGUUCACUUCGGCUUCUGCGUUGCGUUAAUCGUCUAAUCGCGAUAUUUUCAAUUACAGGCUUUUUAUUUCGAGAAGACCGGCGCUUUGUUCAGCGGAAGCGCGCGCUGCUAAUGCAGAGGAAAUCAGGAAAUAACCAAGUAGAAAGAGAGAAAGAGAGGAUUAAAAAGGAGAGCCCGGUUGAACGUUCGCCGCAAACGCGGGCGUUUGCGGUGUACGGCGUCGUCUCUUCCUGGCUCCGGGCUGGCUGUAUAUUAACUGGCGCAAGCGGCCGCGAAUCGCAAAUCGGAAUGCGUUCGACGAAGCGCAUUUAUCGCGCCAUGUUUCCAGCGUUCAUUACCGAUUCGGUGGACGGGGGAAAUUCACGGCACGCGAUCGCGCGGAAUAAUGAUCGACGACAAUUUCCAGGGACGAGGUGCACCGCGCGCAUAAUACACACGCUCGCCUGGGAGUCCCGACGCUAAUGCGAUACGAGAGGGCAUUAAACUGCGAUAACGCGAUCGCCAUCAGGCAAUGAAUUACUCGACGGGAGGGAGGGUAACAGGAAGGCGGUCGGUACCUGGAAACCCGGAUGUUCGUAGCUAUUCCGUCGGCAUGUUACUCAGGGUCGAGCUUCGUGUCGACGGCUCUCGUGAAGGAGGAACCGAAACUCUCCCCUUCUCUCCCUCCCCUCCUCUCGUUUCUCGUUUCGCAUAAAUGAGACGGGUCAUGCAAGUAUGAUUUGCGCAAAUCUUUCAAGAUUGUAAAGAUACAUUUUAAUUGUGAUCAAAAAAGUGCAAGCCCAGCCAAUGAAAAGCGGAAGGUAUAUCUGAUUAGGAAGGCUGCCAAGUCUGUGGAAUAAAAUUCUAGAUAGAGGGGUUUUGAUUUAUAACACACAAUCUUUUUCCCCAAUUAUUUUUGCAUCUUUUUAUAAUGAUUUAUAUCUUUUUUAUGUGUGUGACGGCGUUUAAAAAAAGUUUACGUCAGUCUUUUCGUAGCUACGCUUUUGAUUGCAUUUUGCUGACCAAUAAUCGUUAUGUACUGAGAAAAACUUCAAAUAACUAUAUUUUAUCAUUUUCGGUAUCAAUUAUAUUUAAAUUAUGCUAAUUGUAACUUUUUUAUUACUAAUAUUAUAGCAUAUAAUCAUAAAAUUAAUAACUAUAAAAACGGAGCUCUUAGCUGUAAAUAUUUUAACAUUCAAUUAUGAUCAUCAAUAUCUUUUGUUAAAUAUGUUUGCUUGCUAGUCAGUUCUUCUUUACAUAUAUUAAUUUCCAAUUAAAAAAAAAUUGCUUAUAUUGGUACAAGUUUUCUUUUGUUGCCCCUUUUAUUUUUCCAAAAAUUAAAUAUUACACUGCAUUAAUUUUAAUGAAAUUAGGUGAUGAAAAAAAUAAAAAUCCAUAGUUUAUACAUUCAUGGCCUUUUUUUAAAUAUAAAAUCUACUAGAAACGAAUAUAAUCUUUAUAUUAUAUAUAGUAUCGCAUUACAUGUUGCAUUUUGCGAAACAGCAUAAAGUAUUUGUAAAAAAAUGUUUUACUUUAAUGUUUGUCAAAGUACAAUUUCUGGAAUCCUUAUAUACAUUAAUUUGUAAAUAUCUUGUACAAAUAAUUGGUAUUAACGAAAAAGAAAAGGAAAAUAGCUUAUUGUGCCAGUUUUAAGAUUCAAUUUCUCAGACGUUAAUUUUUGCUUAUGUUGCACGCAAAAACGUUAAUUAAAAUAUAAAAUAUAAAAUAAUAUUAUAAAAAUGCUAUAUCACGUGAUAGAAAACAUUUUCCAAUUAACAUCUACAUUUUCUAAGUUUUAUUUUCAUACAGCUUUAACUGAGAAACAUUAUUCAAAAACAAAGUAGGAUAUGUCAGUAGGAUAUUAAUAACCUUUCUCUAUGUGAAAUUGCUAAUACCGAUUCCGUAACCAUAUAGUGCGUCUCACGUUGCUUUAAUCCUCGUAGCCGGACUUGGUGCAAUCCCCGCAUAACAACAAUCUGUCGGGAAUUAGCCGGGAUAGCCGGACGCGCGCACGCCAGCCCCGUCAAGCCGAGAAAUCGAAAUUUCUCUCUACCGUGCAGCGCAUCCGGCGGGCGAUACCAUCCUGGCGAGGGUCGUCGCAUUAGCUAGGCAAUCGGCUGGCGAAAUUAUUCAUGCUGCGGCAUGUUACGGGCCGGGCCGGCCACGUAACACACCGCGACACGCCACGCGACGUAACGCCGUGUCGGUGGCGGACUUCCUGACGAAUUGCGAUUCCCCGCCGCGCGUAGGAAAGAGGUAAGGGUCAGCGAUCGGAAAUUACCUUCGUGCCGGGGGAUGGAGUCGGGCCGGGCAGGGACCGAGAAUUAAGUUUCGAUGUUUUUUAGCGGUUCGUCCGGCGGAUCGCGCGCAAGGAUGAAUCGAUACGAACGUGAGAGGAGUUGGAAAGCUCCGUCUCCUCGCGUGAACUUCUUCAUCCCGGCGACCGAUAUGUCGCGAUGUCUUCUUUGCGAAACCUGCAGCAGACGCACGAUAUUCUAUAGAUUAUAACGUGACACCUGUCGUUUCAGCUUUAAUUUCCCUUCGUAAACACGCUGAAAAACAACUAACUUUUCGUGGACGAUUACUUAUGUCUGCGGAUUAUAUAAUGUAAUAUGCGCGGUGAUUUAUACACAAAGCUGCUUUUGAAGAUUUAACGUGCGGUUGGAAAUGAAAAAAAAAAAAUAAAAAAUAAAAAGAUUACUUUUUGCCGUAAAUCUCUUUGUGAAUAAAUGAAGGCGAGAGAAGAUCGCGAGACGAGCACCGUUUAGCCAUUCUUCGGAAAGCGAGUCGUUUUUCUUCCUGCUCGUUCAUUAGCAUUCAACGCGUUACGGAUUUUCUUUGUUUUUACUGAGGGGAAUUAUUAGACCAAUUAGGGACGUACAAGCACAAUGUGCGGAAGUUGCAGGAACGAACCGUAAAGUUCUACCUUCUCUUUUGAGUGUAUUGCGAUCGAACGGACCGAAAGUUUCCAUCGCGGCCUUUUGCGCGAAAGUGCUCUCCUAGGAUUUCAAUUUCCAGGAUCAUUACCUUCAAACGGCGUCGGAAUUACAGCUACUGCAUAUAGAUGCUGCAGAUAAAAUCCGCAGAUAUUCUAUGGUGAUAUUUUACAUGCGCCAUUUGUUUGCAAUUCACAAAUGAAUAAACGCAAUUAUGGAUUUAUUAUGUAAAAAGUUAUACCCCAAAGAAAAUCUUAUAUAUAAUAUAAACCUAUUUUUAGCUUUCAUCAAUAUUCCUACUUUUCAAAACGAAUUACGUUCCAUAUUUGACAUAAUAAUAUAUAAAACGUAAUAGAAAUAGAUAAUAAAUCGAGUAGUAGAAACAAAUAUUAAAAGAAUAAAUCUGAAACUCUCUCUCUCUCUCUCUCUCUCUCUCUCUCUCUCUAGAUUAAUUUAUUUCAUAAUUAUUUUUUAAAUUUACUUCUUGUUGAGUGUGUACAUCAUUAUAAUGAAGAGAAUAAGUUAUAUCACACCCUGUAAUAACCUGUAGUAACCUCUUUUUCAUUCUACUUUCCCUUUCAUUUUCCACCUCAUUUCUCAACACCCUCCCUUUGCGUAAAAAAAAAUCGAUUGCAAAUGUUGCGAUCACACGCACUUCCAUACGGAAAUGGGUCGUAAUAUUUCAGAAUUUGAGCGAGCUGUAAAAUAAAUUCCAGCACGAAGAAAAUAGAACCCUGCGGGCUGAUCCUAUUUUCACUUUGGAACUUUUCAGUAUUCGCUGAACAGUGAACAUGAUCGUAAAAUACAAUCUGAAUAUUUUACAGUUAACGAACAUAAUACAAUAUUUUCAAAAAAGUAUAUGUACGCGGAAUUUCUCUAUGCACAAUAAAAUGUCCGUAUUUCUUAACAAAUAAUUCCUGUUAAUCACGCUCCCUCAACUUACAGUUAUUUAAUAUUAAUAACAUAUAUAUAUACGUGUAUAUGUGUGUAUAUGUGUACGUAAAUAGAAAUAUGUAAAUUAUUAUAUUCUAAUUAUGACUGUGUAGCUUACUGUCAUAAAUAUUUCUCUAAUAUUUUUUAGCAUUUUAACACAAGAUAUUCUUGUAGAAAUAUAUGACUAUUAUGUGUUGAGAAUA